CAGAGGGUGCAAGCGUUAAUCGGAAUUACUGGGCGUAAAGCGUGCGUAGUCGGUUAUUUAAGUCGGGUGUGAAAGCCCCGGGCUCAACCUGGGAAUUGCAUUCGAUACUGGAUAGCUAGAGUUCGGCAGAGGGAAGCGGAAUUUCCGGUGUAGCGGUGAAAUGCGUAGAUAUCGGAAGGAACAUCAGUGGCGAAAGCGGCUUCCUGGACCAGAACUGACGAUCAGGCACGAAAGCGUGGGGAGCAAACAGGAUUAGAUACCCUGGUAGUCCACGCCAUAAACGAUGACAACUAGACGUUGGGAGGGUAAGCCUCACAGUGUCGCAGCUAACGCGUUAAGUUGUCCGCCUGGGGAGUACGGCCGCAAGGUUG
rnacentral:rRNA from 1 species